rnacentral:rRNA from 1 species
CCCUUAGAUGUUCUGGGCCGCACGCGCGCUACACUGAUGCAUUCAACGAGUCUACAACCUGGUCUGAUAGGGCUGGGUAAUCUUUUGAAUGUGCAUCGUGAUUGGGAUAGAUGAUUGCAAUUUUUCAUCUUCAACGAGGAAUGCCUAGUAAACGCAAGUCAUCAGCUUGCAUUGAUUACGUCCCUGCCCUUUGUACACACCGCCCGUCGCUCCUACCGAUUGAAUGAUCCGAUGAAUAUCAUGGAUUGAGGAUGCAAGUAGGUUAGCCUAUCUUCAUCUUCGAGAAGUGAAGUAAAUCUUAUCAUUUAGAGGAAGGAGAAGUCGUAACA